UACGAAGGGGGGCUAGCGUUGUUCGGAAUUACUGGGCGUAAAGCGUUUGUAGGCGGUUAUUUAAGCCAGUGGUGAAAGCCCGGGGCUUAACCCCGGAAUUGCCAUUGGUACUGGAUAGCUAGAGAAUGUUAGAGGAAAGUGGAAUUCCUAGUGUAGGAGUGAAAUCCGUAGAGAUUAGGAGGAAUAUCGAUGGCGAAGGCAGCUUUCUGGGACAUUUCUGACGCUGAGAAACGAAAGCGUGGGUAGCAAACAGG
rnacentral:rRNA from 1 species